rnacentral:rRNA from 1 species
UACGGAGGAUCCAAGCGUUAUCCGGAUUUAUUGGGUUUAAAGGGUGCGUAGGCGGCCUUGUAAGUCAGGGGUGAAAGACGGUAGCUCAACUAUCGCAGUGCCCUUGAUACUGCAGGGCUUGAAUACACUAGAGGUAGGCGGAAUGUGACAAGUAGCGGUGAAAUGCAUAGAUAUGUCACAGAACACCGAUUGCGAAGGCAGGUGGCUACGCUUCGUCUGACACUGAGGCACGAAAGCGUGGGGAGCGAACAGG